rnacentral:rRNA from 1 species
AAUGAACGUUGGCGGCGUGGAUUAGGCAUGCAAGUCGAGCGAGAUCUGUAGCAAUACAGUGAAAGCGGCGAAAGGGAGAGUAAUACGUAGGUACCUGCCCUCGGGUCUGGGAUAGCUGCGGGAAACUGCAAUUAAUACCAGAUGACGUCUGAGGACCAAAGGUGUGAUUCCGCCAGGGGAUGGGCCUGCGUCCUAUCAGCUAGUUGGUGUGGUAAAGGCGCACCAAGGCAAAGACGGGUACGGGGUGUGGGAGCAUGCCCCCGCUCACUGGGACUGAGACACUGCCCAGACACCUACGGGUGGCUGCAGUCGAGAAUCUUCCGCAAUGGGCGAAAGCCUGACGGAGCGACGCCGCGUGUGGGAUGAAGGCCUUCGGGUUGUAAACCACUGUCAGUGGGGAGCAAAUGGCUAGGGGUUCUCCCCUAGUCUUGAGCGAUCCGCAGAGGAAGCACAGGCUAAUUCCGUGCCAGCCGCCGCCGUAACAC